GAUGAAGAACGUAGCGAAAUGCGAUAAGUAAUGUGAAUUGCAGAAUUCAGUGAAUCAUCGAAUCUUUGAACGCACAUUGCGCCCGCCAGUAUUCUGGCGGGCAUGCCUGUCCGAGCGUCAUUUCAACCAUCAAGCCCCGGGCUUGUGUUGGGGACCUGCGUCCGACGCAGGCCCCGAAAACCAGUGGCGGGCUCGCUGUCCACACCGAGCGUAGUAGCUAACCUCGCUCCGGAGUGGCGCGGGCGCCUGCCGUAAAACCCCCCAAUUUUACAAGGUUGACCUCGGAUCAGGUAGGAAUACCCGCUGAACUUAAGCAUAUCAAUAAGCGGAGGA
rnacentral:misc_RNA from 1 species